AUUGAACGCUGUCGGCAGGCCUAACACAUGCAAUUCGCGCGGAGCGGCGGACGGGUGAGUAAUGCCUAGGACUCUGCCUGGUAGUGGGGGAUAACGUCCGGAAACGGGCGCUACUCCCGCAUACUAUCAUAUGAGCAUAGUGCGGUUUAGCUAGUUGGUGGGGUAAAGUCCUACCAAGUCGACGAUCCGUAACUGUUCGGAGAGGAUGAUCAGUCACAAUGGAAUUGUGACACGGUCCAGACGCCUACGGUAGGCAGCAGUGGGGAAGAUUGGACAAUGGGCGAAAGCCUGAUACAGCCAUGCCGCGUGUGUGAAGAAGGUCUUCGGAUUGUAAAGCACUUUAAGUUGGGAGGCGUUACCAACAGAAUAAGCACCGGCUAACUUCGUGCCAGCAGCCGCGGUAAUAC
rnacentral:rRNA from 1 species